CUCUCAGUUCGGAUUGGAGUCUGCAACCCGACUCCAUGAAGCUGGAUUCGCUAGUAAUCGCGCAUCAGCCACGGCGCGGUGAAUACGUUCCCGGGCCUUGUACACACCGCCCGUCAAGCCAUGAAAGCCGGGGGUACCUGAAGUGCGUAACCGCAAGGAGCGCCCUAGGGUAAAACUGGUGAUUGGGGCUAAGUCGUAACAAGGUACC
rnacentral:rRNA from 1 species